AUACUUACCUGGACGGGGUCAAUGGGCGAUCAAGAAGGCUCAUGGCCUAGAUCAAUGCCUCACAUUGCACUUUGUGGGUGGGUUGGUUUACCAUCUCCCCAAGCGGGAGAGUGGACGUCAUAAUUUGUGGCAGAGGGGGUACGCGUCCGCGCGGCCCCUA
rfam:Oryza glaberrima chromosome 6 Oglab06_0042_4, whole genome shotgun sequence.